rnacentral:rRNA from 1 species
AAAUUGAAGAGUUUGAUCAUGGCUCAGAUUGAACGCUGGCGGCAGGCCUAACACAUGCAAGUCGAGCGGUAGCACAGAGAGCUUGCUCUCGGGUGACGAGCGGCGGACGGGUGAGUAAUGUCUGGGAAACUGCCUGAUGGAGGGGGAUAACUACUGGAAACGGUAGCUAAUACCGCAUAAUGUCGCAAGACCAAAGUGGGGGACCUUCGGGCCUCAUGCCAUCAGAUGUGCCCAGAUG